GCAAUGAGAAAUGUGCUUUCAAAUAUAAUCAAAGAUGAUAAGUCGUGCUUGUUCAGCUGUAUUUACAGAGCACCAAUUUACAAACAUUACGUGAAUCCUGAUAAUCAAUAAUAGUAGACUUCAGUAAUAACAGGAUCAAAUUGCAAUUUACAAAUAGGACAUGAAAUGACACUGAUAACAGCAAUUAUUAUUAUUACCAGCAUCAAAGUGAGAAACCGCACAGUCCAUGGCGUUUUACGCACUAAAGCCCCUGUGGAGGGAACUCCAAAUAUUGGAAGGGAUGCUAGGACAAGCUUGUGCUGAUGCCUCCACCAUCUGCUCCAUCUGAAUUCCAGCAUUGCAGAUAUUGGCAAUGGAACGCAUGUGUUUCAUUCCAUAUUGGGAUAACGAUCCGCAGUGCGACUCAAAUGUUCUUACAAAAGAUUUAAGGCAGGCCCAAUCAUCAACAAGAGGCUGACCCGCAGAUCGAACAUGCUUCAGCACCUCAGGACCUUUUUGAAUUCCAAACAGAAGCUUACCAACAAGGGCAAUGCGUUCAUCUAGGUGCAUUCUGUGUGACAUAGCUUCAGUGAAUUGUUUCUGAGCUUCAACUUUCCGAGCAGAGCCUUCAGGAGCCUUGCGGAACUUGUCCCAGAAAUGUAAAAGAUCUGCAUCACGCUGGUUGACAGCCUUUGAUGAUGCCAACAAGGAAUUGUCAUCUACAUAAGUGUAGUUAUCAUUUGCAGGAUUUGUA
rnacentral:misc_RNA from 1 species